rfam:Serratia sp. ATCC 39006 ctg3, whole genome shotgun sequence.
AUAAAUAAACGCAGGCUCCCGGUCGGGGGCCAAUGCAAACGAAACAGUUUUGAUUAUAUAUUCUCAGUAAAGCAGGAUUGUUCCGUAUGCUGUUGUUUUAAAAGUAUUAUUGAGCUAUUGGUAACACAUGAACCCCAUCCUCAUAAAUCGUUUACAAAAAAAACUAGGCUAUACUUUCCAAC